rnacentral:ncRNA from 2 species
CCGUUAGCCGCAAGGAAGCUGAUUGGUGGGAUCCUCUUGUGGGUUGCACCGCCGACCGACCUCCCUCAAUCUUUUGUGAAGGGUUCGAGUGAGAGCAUACCUGUCGGGACCCGAAAGAUGGUGAACUAUGCCUGAGCGGGGCGAAGCCAGAGGAAACUCUGGUGGAGGUCCGCAGCGAUACUGACGUGCAAAUCGUUCGUCUGACUUGGGUAUAGGGGCGAAAGGCUAAUCGAACCGUCUAGUAGCUGG